rnacentral:rRNA from 1 species
AUUGAACGCUGGCGGCAGGCCUAACACAUGCAAGUCGAACGGUAACAGGAAGAAGCUUGCUUCUUUGCUGACGAGUGGCGGACGGGUGAGUAAUGUCUGGGAAACUGCCUGAUGGAGGGGGAUAACUCUGGAAACGGUAGCUAAUACCGCAUAACGUCGCAAGACCAAAGAGGGGGACCUUCGGGCCUCUUGCCAUCGGAUGUGCCCAGAUGGGAUUAGCUAGUAGGUGGGGUAACGGCUCACCUAGGCGACGAUCCCUAGCUGGUCUGAGAGGAUGACCAGCCACACUGGAACUGAGACACGGUCCAGACUCCUACGGGAGGCAGCAGUGGGGAAUAUUGCACAAUGGGCGCAAGCCUGAUGCAGCCAUGCCGCGUGUAUGAAGAAGGCCUUCGGGUUGUAAAGUACUUUCAGCGGGGAGGAAGGGAGUAAAGUUAAUACCUUGGCUCAUUGACGUUACCCGCAGAAGAAGCACCGGCUAACUCCGUG